AGGCCCCGACUGUUUACUAAAAACACAACACAGUGCAAUCAUUAAUGUGAUAGUAUACUGUGUGAAAUUUGCCCAAUGCCAUUAAUAUAAGAGCGGUCAUAUGUAGAAUGUGACUAAUUGAAAAUCUGGUUAAUAGCGGUCUUAACCAUGAGGAUCCUAAGGUAGCAAAAUAAAUUGGCCAUUAAAUGUGGUCCGGUAUCAAUAAUGUAACAAUGGCCUCACUGGUCUUCUACAACUUGUCA
rnacentral:rRNA from 1 species